AUAAAGGGUUUGAUUGUGGGACAAUGUUUUAUUUGGUAUAGGUGAAGUUACAGUACUAGUGCUAAGCAGUUAAAAUUAUGGCUUAGUGUCUAUUGUCGAUUUGAAGACUGUAUUAUCAAAAAUAAAUCGGUAGCAAAGGAACCCAUUUGCUACUGAUAAUACCAAAAUGACACAUGCCCAUUAAUUAGAUCAAGCAAAUUGAUCUUCUUAUUUACAGGGAUUAGGAAGAAAAAGCGAGGGAAGAAAAAACUUGUGGGAUUGCUAUAGUUGUGGUCAUCUUCUACUUCUUCUUCUGUUUGCAGAUUAGUUGUUUUUCUACAAUGGAUAAGAGUUGGAUGCAAGUCAUGAACCUACAAGUGAAGGCAACCAUCGAUCAUCGAAUGCAAGUCAUGAACCUACAAGUGAAGGAAACCAUUGAACCAUUUAAAUUUUUGUAAACUAGAAAACUCAACUGUUGACCAUCUUUAAAACUAUUUAAACUUUUUGUUACUUAAUGUCAUGUUAUAUACUAUUCGAUAUAUAUUGAAUGUAUGAGAUUGUGUUUUGGAUCUUAUGAUAAAAAAUUGGUA